rnacentral:piRNA from 1 species
GGAAACAGCCCUGCCACGAGGA